rnacentral:rRNA from 1 species
UACGGGGGGGGCAAGCGUUGUUCGGAAUUACUGGGCGUAAAGGGCGCGUAGGCGGCCUACUAAGUCAGACGUGAAAUCCCCCGGCUUAACCUGGGAACUGCGUCUGAUACUGGAAGGCUUGAGGAUGGGAGAGGGAUGUAGAAUUCCAGGUGUAGCGGUGAAAUGCGUAGAUAUCUGGAGGAAUACCGGUGGCGAAGGCGGCAUCCUGGACCAUUACUGACGCUGAGGCGCGAAAGCUAGGGGAGCAAACGGA